UUGGUGGGUAGUUGCUGACUCCUGAGUUUUAGGCUGAGUCAAUGAGGGAAGAUUGACGCCAGAGGGCUGGCCUGGAUUAAGAUUUCAGAUCAGCUCUGUAGCAGCAGAAGACUCAAGUAAAUAUGCAAAGCAACCGCAGGACGUUUGCAAGGAGCAAAGAAAUCUAUGUCAGUAUUUUAACAACCGUUUUUUGCGUGUAUUUUCUGCAGGGCUGGGGUAUGCAAUCAAAGUUUAAACUCUGAGCUUUCUAUGAAAACAAAACAAAACAAAACAAAAACAAAAAAACAGAAAAGAAAAAGAAAAAUCCAAAACCCUCAGGACCUCUCUGUGGCUGGGUCUAUGGACAUGUGUUGUCGGAUAAAUGGUGAUGGCGCCCUCAAGUGGCUAGAAGGCUUCACUGCAUAUUGUCUGUUGAGGCUUUUGUCCUCCGAGAUCAGAGUACUCAAGAGAGACUCCUGACAUCUGUCCUCUCCAGUGUCACAUUUAUGAGCAUCUCCACUGUGCUAGGCCUGUCCCAGGACACUAUAUGACCACACCCUCUCUCAUCGGUGUGUUUCUGUAGCAAGUCUUCAUAUUUGUUUCCAACAAUGGUGUCUCUGCGUUCAUGUUGAAGACAGAGAUGGGGUAAGAAGACUAUCCGUGCAUGAAGUAGAGAACUGUUGGUUUGUUUCUUUUUUUUUUUUUAAAGGAGAAGCUAUUUGUAAGCCACUGCACAAAGACGUUUUAUAUACACUGCAGAGACCUGUAGUAAAUUAUGUUGACAAUACGCUGUUUACAUUUUCUGGAGUCUGAUGGCCUCCUACCCCUCACUGAAGCAGCCACCUCCUGCUGUGGGACUGUGCUCAGUGGGUGGCCUGGAGUUUUGCUCUUGGCACUGAUGUACCAGAUUCAAGUUUUACACGCUGUAGCUUUUCUAUGCAUGCCCUCACCCAACCUAAAUUAUGUUUUUUUGUAUAAAUGAUAAAAAAAAACUUUCUC
rnacentral:lncRNA from 1 species